UACGUAGGGGGCAAGCGUUGUCCGGAUUUAUUGGGCGUAAAGAGCGUGUAGGCGGCCAGAUAGGUCCGUUGUGAAAACUCGAGGCUCAACCUCGAGACGCCGAUGGAAACCAUUUGGCUAGAGUCCGGGAGAGGAGAGUGGAAUUCCUGGUGUAGCGGUGAAAUGCGCAGAUAUCAGGAAGAACACCCGUGGCGAAAGCGGCUCUCUGGAACGGUACUGACGCUGAGACGCGAAAAGCGUGGGGAGCGAACAGG
rnacentral:rRNA from 1 species